CAGGUCUACUCGGUACAGGACAGAGUCCCUGAGCUGGUCUUCAGCAUACGCGGGAAUACGCAAGCUCCUGUGCAUGUUCACGUCCCGCGGUGAUGCUGUGUGAUAAGCCACACCCCCCUCUUAGUGACUGCGCAUGCUCAUGUCCUGGGGGGAUGCGUUGUGGUCGGCCACACCCCAGGAACUGGGCGGAGACUCAAGGUAAUCUCUGGGAUUCUUGCUCUUGUCCAAUCCAGUAUGCUUCUGUUCUGUACAGAGGCCUCCUCAGUCACAGCGGCAAGAGAAGAGAGCAUGUGGAGAACGAGUCUCAACUGCAGCCCCAAAGUAACACUGAUCACAUCCCUCCCAACACACUGGCCAGAGCUAGUAGCAUGGCCAAAUCCAACUCCA